AUUGAACGCUGGCGGAAUGCUUUACACAUGCAAGUCGAACGGCAGCACGGACUUCGGUCUGGUGGCGAGUGGCGAACGGGUGAGUAAUGUAUCGGAACGUGCCCAGUCGUGGGGGAUAACGUAGUGAAAAUUACGCUAAUACCGCAUACGAUCUAUGGAUGAAAGCGGGGGGUCGCAAGACCUCGCGCGAUUGGAGCGGCCGAUAUCAGAUUAGGUAGUUGGUGGGGUAAAGGCGCACCAAGCCAACGAUCUGUAGCUGGUCUGAGAGGACGACCAGCCACACUGGAACUGAGACACGGUCCAGACUCCUACGGGAUGCAGCAGUGGGGAAUUUUGGACAAUGGGCGAAAGCCUGAUCCAGCCAUUCCGCGUGCAGGAUGAAGGCCCUCGGGUUGUAAACUGCUUUUGUACAGAACGAAGAGGUUUCUACUAAUACUAGGAGCUCAUGACGGUACUGUAAGAAUAAGCACCGGCUAACUACGUGCCAGCCGCCGCAGUAA
rnacentral:rRNA from 1 species